rnacentral:rRNA from 1 species
UAAAACGUCGGAGAACGGAUUGCGUCUAAUUAAGGGUGCAUGCUGUUCAGCUCUUUUUAUUAAGGGUGUACUCAGUGUGUCACACGACCCGUCGUGGGCUUUGCGUGGCUUAUAAUUUUUUAGGCUGUGUAGGGCUGAGGGAUCCCCAAUUUUUUGGGUGAGGACGAUGGGAGGUCGACGCGAUACGACCCGUCUUGAAACACGGACCAAGGAGUCUAGCGUAGCUGCGAGUCAAAGGGUAUUGAAACCUGGGGGCGCAGUGAAAGCAAUUUAAAACGUUGCAGUUUGAGGCGGCAUACGAUCGUUGAUUGUAGGUCCGACCUAGAGCAGUUAUGCUAGGACCCGAAAGAUGGUGAACUAUGCCGGAGUAGGGCGAAGCCAGAGGAAACUCUGGUGGAGGCUCGUAGCGGUGCUGACGUGCAAAUCGCUCGUCUAACUCGGGUAUAGGGGCGAAAGACUAAUCGAACCAUCUAGUAGCUGGUUUCCUCCGAAGUUUCUCUCAGGAUAGCAGGCCGACGAGUGUUGUUGUUUGUGGUAAAGCGAAUGAUUAGCGUAUUUGGGGGCAUUUUGUCUUCAGACGAUUCUCAAACUUUAAAUACGAACGGAUGUUGCCGCUUGGUUGGGCGGCAUCGUCAAAAACGUCGGCCUUGUGGGCCACUUUUGGUAAGCAGAACUGGCGAUACGGGAUGAACCGUAAGCGGGGUUAAGGCGCCAAAUUGUCCGCUUACAGAUCCCAAAAAAGGUGUUGAUUCAUCGAGACAGCAGGACGGUGGCCAUGGAAGUCGGAAUCCGCUAAGGAGUGUGUAACAACUCACCUGCCGAAUGAAUUAGCCCUGAAAAUGGAUGGCGCUUAAGCGGGCAGCCGAAACCCCGCCGUUUGACCAAAGUGGAUUCAAAUGAGUAGGAGGACGUGGCGGUCGUAUCGAAGCGUAGGUGCGAACCUGCGUGGAACGGCCGCUAGUGCAGAUCUUGGUGGUAGUAGCAAAUAUUCAAACGAGAACCUUGAAGGGCGAAGCGGGGAAGGGUUCCACGCGAACAUUGAUUGGGUGUGGGUAAGUCGUUCCUAAGCCGAGUGGCAAUAGCUAAUUAUCGUGCGAAAGGGAAGCAGGUUGAUAUUCCUGCACGCGGAUGUAGAUGCGGUGACGCACUUCUGAGACGAUGACGUUGGCGAUGGAUCUGGGCAGAGUUUUCUUUUCUGUUUGACCGUACCUAGCGCGCUGUGUGGAAUCCGAUUGUCGGGAGAAACACGCGUGUUUGGGCAGAGCGCCGGGAUUUUCCGGCGUCCAGAUCUCCAUCGACGGCCCUUGAAAAAUCGUCUGCUGGCCAAAUCCUUUUUGUUUUUGGUGUGAAAAUUCUACGCCGCAACGUACCGAUAACCGCAGCAGGUCUCCAAGA